rnacentral:rRNA from 1 species
AGCGAACGCUGGCGGCAGGCUUAACACAUGCAAGUCGAACGGAUCCUUCGGGAUCAGUGGCAGACGGGUGAGUAACACGUGGGAACGUGCCUUUUGGUUCGGAACAACUCAGGGAAACUUGAGCUAAUACCGGAUGUGCCCUUCGGGGAAGGAUUAUCGCCAUUAGAGCGGCCCGCGUCUGAUUAGCUAGUUGGUGAGGUAAAGGCUCACCAAGGCUUCGAUCAGUAGCNGGUCUGAGAGGAUGAUCAGCCACACUGGGAC